GUCAUUUAAAACUCCUUGGCCAAGCCAUCCAAACGAAGUGAAAUACACGAUUAUUUAUUCGGCAUUUUUGUGUUUUGUUUUUCUUUUCUUUUCACCCUCAGCACGCAACUGCUGCCUGACCUCUGACCUCCACCCACUCCCAAAUCGAAUAGGAAUCGAUCGAUUCAGGGGAGAAACGCAGCGAAACGAGCCAAAAUGCAUUGUCAAACUAUCGAAUUCUUAAAUUGCAACUGACAAUCAAGUCACGUGCAGCACACUAAACUAAGGCACGGAAACACAAAAAAAGUGGUUGGUGAUGCAUU
ensembl:ncRNA lncRNA:CR45729 long non-coding RNA:CR45729